rnacentral:rRNA from 1 species
ACGGGAGGCAGCAGUGGGGAAUAUUGCACAAUGGGGGAAACCCUGAUGCAGCGACGCCGCGUGAGUGAAGAAGUAUUUCGGUAUGUAAAGCUCUAUCAGCAGGAAAGAAAAUGACGGUACCUGACUAAGAAGCCCCGGCUAACUACGUGCCAGCAGCCGCGGUAAUACGUAGGGGGCAAGCGUUAUCCGGAUUUACUGGGUGUAAAGGGAGCGUAGACGGUAAGGCAAGUCUGAAGUGAAAUGCCAGGGCUCAACCCUGGAACUGCUUUGGAAACUGUCCUACUAGAGUGCAGGAGAGGUAAGUGGAAUUCCUAGUGUAGCGGUGAAAUGCGUAGAUAUUAGGAGGAACACCAGUGGCGAAGGCGGCUUACUGAACUGUAACUGACGUUGAGGCUCGAAAGCGUGGGGAGCAAACAGGAUUAGAUACCCUGGUA